rnacentral:lncRNA from 1 species
CUGGUCCAGGUUAAGAACAGUGCAAACAGGAUCAUGGUUCAGAAAGAAACUGAACAUUCCAUAUUAGAUAGUAACUAGAGCUGGAGUGGGUAAGAAGAUAGGCAACUGGGACUUAGGCUCAAAUACAGCACGAGUAAGAAGCUUGCCUUGUGUGAGGGAGGACUCCACGCUGCCAGACUACAGUUGCGAGAUUUACCGGCCAGAUGGACAAACCAGGAUAAUCAGUUAAAUUUGAAUUUUGCUGAAACAGUUACUUUUUUAAGCCUAAGUAUGUCCCCAACACUAAAUGAGACAUAUUUAUAUGAAAAUAUUUUCAUUACUUAUU